rnacentral:lncRNA from 1 species
AAGAAGCUGAAAGAGGACAGCAAGCCAUGAUCAAACAGUAGACCAGGUGGAGCAGGUACAAAGACUAAGGGAGCAUGUUGGUGAGCAGUAGCAAUAGGAAGGAGGCACAGAAAUCCUGGAAAACCAAGGAAGAAGUAGCAUUAGGAGCACACAAUAUCAAAAAGGAGGAAAGGAAACUGACUACUUCUUUCAGAAGAAAUACACCCUACAGUGGCAUCAUGUGUUCUUCAGCCAUGUCCUUAGAAGUGUAGAUACAGGAAAACUGUAGUACAUGGAAAGCCCAGAAAAAUCCAAAAAGAUAGUUUGCAGGUAAUGGCUCCCUGCAAAGCACAGCCCUGACCUGAGCCCUGGGCAGUACAGAUCCUUUUCUAUGGUCGAGGGGUUUUGGGGGUGGAAAUGCAUUGAAUUUUUUUCCGCUGCCUGAAACCAAGGAAAACUGUUGGGCUGUAAAAUGAUGAGAAAUUGUGGUUUUACUCUUCAAGUACCUGAUGGAUGAUGGGAAGGAAUUUGGAGGCUUCAAAACCUAUGUUUUAAUUUGUCCAAAAAAACAUAUCACAGUUUUGUGGGAGACAUGUUUCUAUAAUAGAUUUAGAGAUAGAUAAACGUUUAAUGACUUGAAAGAAAAGGUGGAACAAAUCCUCCUCAAGACUUUGGCCAGCUGAAUCUCACCACAGAAAGCUUCAGAAUAGUCUGCCCAUGCUUGUGAUGAAUUAAUCUUUCUUUAUAGAUAGAGUUCAUCUUGAAGUGUAAAUGAAACUAAUGAAACUACUCCAAUCCACAGGAACUGAGGAUCUAGGAUAUGUAUAAUAGCUUUUUUUAAAAAAAAAAAAAGUUAUUGUCAGAUCCAACUUGGCCUUUUUGUAAAUCCCCAGACCACAUUUGUUUACACAAAUCAAAAAAUCAAAAAGCACAUGAACUUUGGAAACAGUAAAAGAUCUCAAGCAAAACUGGAAAGGAGCAGUAUAUUCCUGCAGUGGAAACUUUGAUAUGAUAUCAGGACAUGCCAGGAGUGUAGAGAAAUUCAUUCCAAAAGGAAGUCUAAAAAUUAUUGAUAUGCAUCUGAAUGCAUAUUGGGAUUAAUGCAUCUGAAUACAGUUUGGGAUUAAUGGAAAAUUUAUUUGGUUAUCUGUCCCUUUGUUCUUUUUUCCAAAUUACUAUAUAUAAAUAUACAUAUGUAUAUAAUUAUUAUUUUUUCCCAGUGUGUUGAAAUUAAACAGGCUUUCUGGGUUCAAUUUCAUACUUUUAGUUGUAAAAAUUCUGCCACCCUUGCUCCUGUGUCACAUUCAGUGUAAGCCAGAUAUUUUAACAGGCCUGAUAGAAUUGUCUAUAUGACUGACCUCAGCUUUUUGUCUGUUACCUCAGUCUGCACAAAGUACCAUUGAUUCUUCUAAUGCAGGACUGCUCUAAGUGGGCAUGCAAAGACCAGCCUGUCUUGUGAAAGGGCUGGAAAGUGCCAUUGUGUUAAACCACAUUUGUAAGGAAAGAUGAUACACCUUAACAGACCAAUUUACAUACCUGAUAAAAGCAAAACCACAACCACAACCAAAGAAGGCUUGUGUGCCUUCUGACACACAAGCUUUUUCUCAGAAAACUACGUAUUAUUAAACAGUAGUUGAUGGCAUGCAUAUUCAAAUCUCACGUAUAAAUUACUAGGGCACAUUAGUGUCCUGAAAUUGUCAGGCAUGAUAUAACAGUUAAUGUAAGGUUAGAGGUCAUGAUUUUUGAUAGUGAUUUCCUGUAAUGCUUUCCUCCUAUGCGAACCCAUAAAUGUCUGUCUUUUCUUAAAUAAUGAGUGAAACAACUAUUCAUUUGCUUAAAAUUAAUUCUGUGAUGUGUUAGGAGGCUUGCUUCCUAAUGUUUGUAAAACACUUUGAAGCUCAAAACUGCUAUGUAAGUAUUAUCAUUAUUGACAGUAGAAACAAUUCUAGUGAUGAAUAAUACUUUUUCCUCAUAGAAAAUUGACUUUAAUUUAGAUUAAUUGGAGAAUCUGUUGCAUGCUAACAAGAAUUCCUGAAUCAGAUGAUGAUCGAUGAGACUGUUUUUAUGUUUUAAGAUAUUCAUUGGUAAUUUCCUUGGGACUGGGACUGUAUUAUGUGCGUUCAUCUGUUGUCCAGCAUUAAGAAAUCCUGACAGAGCCUUUUGGUCACAACUGUAACUCAAGUUGUAAAUAAUAUCAUCUGGUAGUUAUCCAAAAAACUGUUUGCAGCAAUUCUGCAAUAUUGAUUUGACCCCCAUAACUUUUCUAGCCUAAAUUAAAAAUGUAUUUAGUAAUAGUCACCAUGGAGUGUCACCAUGAGCUUUCUAUAUACUAUAAAUAUACUAUACCAUGAUUAAUUACUUCUAUGCAUUUGGUACGCUGUAAUUUGUUUAGGAUUAAUGGACUCAGCUCAUCAGUAAACGUAGAGUUCCUCCAUAUUUCAGUAAUGGCUAAUCCAUUAGCUGUACUGAAGUUUAUCUCUAAGACUAAAUCAAUCAGCUGAUGCUUAUCAGAUGUCAUCCUAUUUAAGCAGUUUACACUUAAUAGUUUACCACAGUUUAAAGGAGAGUUGAAUUACCUGGGGUUAUGUACUGGGGGAGAUUGGUGUAUUCUUUGAUGUAUUGUCCCAAACAGUAUAAAUAAACUAUGCAUAUGUAGCCA